CAGUGCAGCAGCUGCCAUUUAAUGCUGCUCACCCGAGUCGCUUUUUAAUCUGUUAACACAACACAACCAUUUAUAUAUUCUCACAGAGCCUUCAUCGUCUCCAAUUCUCCACCAACAUCCCGUGGUUCGAGGACAACAAAAAAAUCCAACCCAUAUAGCCAGGGCUCUUUUUCACACUCUCAUAUAUGUGGUAUACCUACAAUACAUAGAUGAUGGUACAAAUCUUCACGAGAAAGAGAACCCCGGACAAAAGGAACGACAUGUGAUUUUAUUCUACGCCGACCAUUUCUACACAAUUUAUU